rnacentral:rRNA from 1 species
CCUACGGGAGGCUGCAGUAGGGAAUCUUCCACAAUGGGCGAAAGCCUGAUGGAGCAACGCCGCGUGGGUGAGGAAGGUCUUCGGAUCGUAAAACCCUGUUGUUAGAGAAGAAAGUGCGUGGGCGUAACUGUUCACGUGUCGACGGUAUGUAACCGGAAAGGCACGCCUCACUACGUGCCCGCAGCCGCGGUAAUACGUGGGUGGCAAACGUGAUCCGCAUUUAUUGGGCGUAAAGGGAACGCAGGCGGGCUGUUAAGUCUGAUGUGAAAGCCUUCGGCUUAACCGGAGUAGUGCAUUGGAAACUGGGAGACUUGAGUGCAGAAGAGGAGAGUGGAACGCCAUGUGUAGCGGUGAAAUGCGUAGAUAUAUGGCAGAACACCAGUGGCGAAAGCGGCUCUCUGGUCUGUAACUGACGCUGAGGUUCGAAAGCGUGGGUAGCAAACAGGAUUAGAUACCCUGGUAGUC